rnacentral:rRNA from 1 species
AACGAACGCUGGCGGCAUGCCUAACACAUGCAAGUCGAACGAGACCUUCGGGUCUAGCGGCGCACGGGUGCGUAACGCGUGGGAAUCUGCCCUUGGGUUCGGAAUACCAGUUGGAAACGACUGCUAAUACCGGAUGAUGACGUAAGUCCAAAGAUUUAUCGCCCACGGAUGAGCCCGCGUAGGAUUAGCUAGUUGGUGAGGUAAAGGCUCACCAAGGCGACGCUCCUUAGCUGGUCUGAGAGGAUGAUCAGCCACACUGGGACUGAGACACGGCCCAGACUCCUACGGGAGGCAGCAGUGGGGAAUAUUGGACAAUGGGCGAAAGCCUGAUCCAGCAAUGCCGCGUGAGUGAUGAAGGCCGUAGGGUUGCAAAGCUCUUUUAACCGGGAUGAUAAUGACAGUACCGGGAGAAUAAGCACCGGCUAACUCCGUG